ensembl:lncRNA
GUAAUAACAGAUGGUAUACAGAGAAGUUAGGCUGGUAAAAUUAGUGGGUUGGAAAAGAUAGUCAGAUAGAAACGAAAGGUGCUCACCAGUGUUGUAGGCUCACAAAAACUCCUCAGGGAGUGAUCUCCAGGAAGAGAUCCUUCCUCAGUGGCAGUCAGCCCUUAAAUGGGGUCUAGGAGAGGAGAAGCCUGGCUCCACACCUUCCGGUCACAAAGGAGAAAGCAAUUCACCUGUGCUCCUGCAGCUGACUCAGUGCUUGCCUCAGGUGGUCAAUCAGAGAUUCAGGCCGUGAUUCAACAGAUCCCAUAUGAAGGUGCAGCCUCUGAGCUAGGAGUUUUGCUGAAGAAAUCUCUUCUGUGAGAGCACAGUAGCACUCAUCAUCUUCAUCUGGCAGAUGGUGAAGCACUAAAAGACCUCUGAAAGGCUGUACUGGAGGCAGGGAGGUUCUUGCCACCUGGUUCACCUUGCUGUAUAAGUGAGGAAGUGGCCACCAAGCAGCAGCGGCCUCCGCACACUGGGAGGACACUAACUGCUGUGCAGCUGGCUUCUGGGUCGCCUGCUGCGUCUAACACCGUAGUAGUUCUGGUGAUGGAAGGCUCCAGCCACUACCCUUCUGGCUUUGGCAGACAUGCUGCCAUCAUGCUGCUCUCUGAACAAGGCAACUCCAACCCAGAAUCCUCUACAGCUGAGCUCCUGCUCACCAAACUCUUGACAGAUGUACGUGUGCUCUUGCAGUUUGUGCCAGUUUCAACACAACCCUGGCAUGUUGUACAAAAGCAGUUUUUCUUUCCAGCACCUCAGGUUUCAGGAUUAUGGCUGACAGUGUGGGUCACACUGCAAAAACAAGCGCUCACAUGCUUGGAUGAGGCAUUUGCAGGGUAGGCCCUUACCCAAUCCACUGAGGACUCUCAGCUCCAUGUUGCUGUGUGGUACAAUGGUGGGGGGUGGGGACACACGACAGAAGUCCAGCCUUCCGAAAAGCCACCAGGGAUCCUGGCAGUCUCCUGUUGCAAAGCAGUCAGACUGGCUGGCACCCCAACAGGGGCUUCUUCAUCCCCAGACAGCUGCAGCGAGGAUAUGACGACGUAUUGCACCAGUCAGGAGCGAGCUGGAUGAAAUCUGUCAGAGCACGCCUAGAGUGCGCGGAUGCCAACACCAAAGAGCCAGCUGCUCGGGGACAGUAAAC